rnacentral:rRNA from 1 species
GAUGAACGCUGGCGGCGUGCCUAAUACAUGCAAGUCGAGCGAACAGACGAGGAGCUUGCUCCGCUGACGUUAGCGGCGGACGGGUGAGUAACACGUGUAUAACCUACCUAUAAUACUGGGAUAACUUCGGGACACCGGCGCUAAUACCGGAUAAUAUAUUGAACCGCAUGGGUCAAUGGAGAAAGACGGUUUUGCUGGCUGGUGUGGAUGGAUUCGCGCCGUAUCAGCUUGUUGGUGAGUUAGUGGCUUACCAAGGCGAGGAUGCGUAGGCGACCUGAGAGGGUGACCGGCGACACUGGGACUGAGGGACGGCCCAGACUGGUACGGGAGGGAGCAGGGGGGAAUAUUGCACAAUGGGCGGAAGCCUGAUGCAGCAACGCCGCGUGCGGGAAAACGGUCUUCGGGGGGUAAACCGAUUUCGCCUGUAACGAAGCGUGAGUGACGGUAACGGGUAAAGAAGCACCGGCUAACUACGUG